AUUGAACGCUGGCGGCAUGCCUUACACAUGCAAGUCGAACGGCAGCACGGGAGCAAUCCUGGUGGCGAGUGGCGAACGGGUGAGUAAUACAUCGGAACGUGCCCAGUAGUGGGGGAUAACCCGGCGAAAGCCGGACUAAUACCGCAUACGACCUACGGGUGAAAGCAGGGGAUCGCAAGACCUUGCGCUAUCGGAGCGGCCGAUGUCAGAUUAGCUAGUUGGNGGGGUAAAAGCCCACCAAGGCGACGAUCUGUAGCUGGUCUGAGAGGACGACCAGCCACACUGGGACUGAGACACGGCCCAGACUCCUACGGGAGGCAGCAGUGGGGAAUUUUGGACAAUGGGCGCAAGCCUGAUCCAGCCAUGCCGCGUGCGGGAAGAAGGCCU
rnacentral:rRNA from 1 species